CAAUAGCGUAUAUUGAAGUUGUUGCGGUUAAAAAGCUCGUAGUUGGAUUUCUGCUGAGAACGACCGGUCCGCCCUUUGGGUGUGUAUCUGGCUCUUUCUUGGCAUCUUCUUGGUGAACGUUGCUGCACUUGACUGUGUGGAGCGCUACCCAGGACUUUUACUUUGAGGAAAUUAGAGUGUUUCAAGCAGGCAUACGCCUUGAAUACAUUAGCAUGGAAUAAUAAGAUAGGACCUCGGUUCUAUUUUGUUGGUUUCUAGAGCUGAGGUAAUGAUUAAUAGGGAUAGUUGGGGGCAUUCGUAUUUAACUGUCAGAGGUGAAAUUCUUGGAUUUGUUAAAGACGGACUACUGCGAANGNAUUUGCNAAGGAUGUUUNCAUUG
rnacentral:rRNA from 1 species